GGGGAAUUAGCUCAAUGGUAGAGCAGUGCUUUUACACAGCAUUUACAGAGGUUCGAUUCCUUUAUUCCUUA
rnacentral:tRNA from 2 species